GACUGCGUACCUUUUGUAUAAUGGGUCAGCGACUUAUAUUCUGUAGCAAGGUUAACCGAAUAGGGGAGCCGAAGGGAAACCGAGUCUUAACUGGGCGUUAAGUUGCAGGGUAUAGACCCGAAACCCGGUGAUCUAGCCAUGGGCAGGUUGAAGGUUGGGUAACACUAACUGGAGGACCGAACCGACUAAUGUUGAAAAAUUAGCGGAUGACUUGUGGCUGGGGGUGAAAGGCCAAUCAAACCGGGAGAUAGCUGGUUCUCCCCGAAAGCUAUUUAGGUAGCGCCUCGUGAAUUCAUCUCCGGGGGUAGAGCACUGUUUCGGCAAGGGGGUCAUCCCGACUUACCAACCCGAUGCAAACUGCGAAUACCGGAGAAUGUUAUCACGGGAGACACACGGCGGGUGCUAACGUCCGUCGUGAAGAGGGAAACAACCCAGACCGCCAGCUAAGGUCCCAAAGUCAUGGUUAAGUGGGAAACGAUGUGGGAAGGCCCAGACAGCCAGGAUGUUGGCUUAGAAGCAGCCAUCAUUUAAAGAAAGCGUAAUAGCUCACUGGUCGAGUCGGCCUGCGCGGAAGAUGUAACGGGGCUAAACCAUG
rnacentral:rRNA from 1 species